rnacentral:tRNA from 1 species
GGCUACCUGGCGCAAUGGUAGCGCGUCCGCCUACGAUUUGUGUUUAGCGGGAAGUUGCAGGUUCGAUCCCUGCGGUGGUCA